rnacentral:tRNA from 1 species
GCUGAAAUGGCCUAGCGGUUAAGGCGCUGCAUUGUGGAUGCAGACACGAUGGUUCGAAUCCAUCUUUCAGUG